AUUGAACGCUGGCGGCAUGCUUUACACAUGCAAGUCGAACGGUAACAGGCCGCAAGGUGCUGACGAGUGGCGAACGGGUGAGUAAUGCAUCGGAACGUGCCCAGUCGUGGGGGAUAACUACUCGAAAGAGUAGCUAAUACCGCAUACGAUCUAUGGAUGAAAGCGGGGGACCGUAAGGCCUCGCGCGAUUGGAGCGGCCGAUGUCAGAUUAGGUAGUUGGUGGGGUAAAGGCUCACCAAGCCAACGAUCUGUAGCUGGUCUGAGAGGACGACCAGCUACACUGGGACUGAGACACGGCCCAGACUCCUACGGGAGGCAGCAGUGGGGAAUUUUGGACAAUGGGCGCAAGCCUGAUCCAGCAAUGCCGCGUGCAGGAAGAAGGCCUUCGGGUUGUAAACUGCUUUUGUACGGAACGAAACGGCUCUGGUUAAUACCCGGGGCUAAUGACGGUACCGUAAGAAUAAGCACCGGCUAACUACGUG
rnacentral:rRNA from 1 species